UGCCGCAUAAGCGCACAGUGUCGCAUGACACGGUGUGAAAAACUCCGGUGGUAUGAGAUGGUCCCGCGUCUGAUUAGGCAGUUGGCGGGGUAACGGCCCACCAAACCGACGAUCAGUAGCCGACCUGAGAGGGUGACCGGCCACAUUGGGACUGAGACACGGCCCAAACUCCUACGGGAGGCAGCAGUGGGGAAUAUUGCACAAUGGGGGAAACCCUGAUGCAGCGACGCCGCGUGGGUGACGAAGUAUUUCGGUAUGUAAAGCCCUAUCAGCAGGGAAGAAGAUGACAGUACCUGACUAAGAAGCCCCGGCUAACUACGUGCCAGCAGCCGCGGUAAUACGUAGGGGGCAAGCGUUAUCCGGAUUUACUGGGUGUAAAGGGAGCGUAGGUGGCAUGGCAAGCCAGAAGUGAAAACCCGGGGCUUAACCCCGGGAUUGCUUUUGGAACUGUCAGGCUGGAGUGCAGGAGGGGCAGGCGGAAUUCCUGGUGUAGCGGUGAAAUGCGUAGAUAUCAGGAGGAACACCGGUGGCGAAGGCGGCCUGCUGGACUGUAACUGACACUGAGGCUCGAAAGCGUGGGGAGCAAACAGGAUUAGAUACCCUGGUAGUCCACGCUGUAAACGAC
rnacentral:rRNA from 1 species